rnacentral:rRNA from 1 species
ACUCCUACGGGAGGCAGCAGUGGGGAAUAUUGCACAAUGGGCGCAAGCCUGAUGCAGCCAUGCCGCGUGUGUGAAGAAGGCCUUCGGGUUGUAAAGCACUUUCAGCGAGGAGGAAAAGGGUGUAAGUUAAUACCUUACAUCNGUGACGUUACUCGCAGAAGAAGCACCGGCUAACUCCGUGCCAGCAGCCGCGGUAAUACGGAGGGUGCGAGCGUUAAUCGGAAUUACUGGGCGUAAAGCGUGCGCAGGCGGUUUGUUAAGCGAGAUGUGAAAG